rnacentral:rRNA from 1 species
UACGUAGGGUGCGAGCGUUGUCCGGAAUUAUUGGGCGUAAAGAGCUCGUAGGCGGUCUGUCGCGUCGGUCGUGAAAACUUGGGGCUUAACCCUGAGCUUGCGGUCGAUACGGGCAUGACUGGAGUUCGGCAGGGGAGACUGGAAUUCCUGGUGUAGCGGUGAAAUGCGCAGAUAUCAGGAGGAACACCGGUGGCGAAGGCGACUUCCUGGCCUGUUCUUGACGCUGAGGCGCGAAAGCUAGGGGAGCAAACGGG